UGUCGAAAACAGGGAUUGAACCAGGGACCUUUAGAUCUUCAGUCUAACGCUCUCCAAACUGAGCUUUUGUGAC